rnacentral:sRNA from 1 species
GUUUGUGUAAUAUAAUAAUAAUUGCAAGAAGUUGAGUCGGUGGCUAAUCUAAAAAUGGGGGGUGGUGCUUAUGUCAAAGUAAGGACUUCUACCAGAGAGGAUAAGCCUUUUGUCUGUUGCUGAAGCAAUGGCAUUGAUGAUCAGUUUCGGUUCUUUAAUCGCGACGAUUAUCCUUGGCAU